rnacentral:rRNA from 1 species
CAAGUAGGCGGUCUAAUAAGCGAGGGGUGAAAUCUUCCGACUCAAUCGGAAAACUGCCUUUCGAACUGUUAGACUUGAGGUAGGUAGGGGGAAGUGGAAUUUCCGGUGUAAGGGUGAAAUCUGUAGAUAUCGGAAAGAACACCAACGGCGAAGGCAACUUCCUGGGCCUAUCCUGACGCUAAAUUGCGAAAGCUAGGGGAGCAAACAGGAUUAGAUACCCUGGUAGUCC